rnacentral:ncRNA from 2 species
UUUCUAUCAAGAGUGGUGGAGGGAAUGGCCCUAUGAAACCCGGCAACCUGUACAUCAAGGUGCUAAAUCCAACAGCCAUAAGCUGAAAGAUAGAAG